UACACUCCUGCGGGAGGCAGCAGUGGGGAAUAUUGGACAAUGGGCGCAAGCCUGAUCCAGCCAUGCCGCGUGAGUGAUGAAGGCCCUAGGGUUGUAAAGCUCUUUCACCGGUGAAGAUAAUGACGGUAACCGGAGAAGAAGCCCCGGCUAACUUCGUGCCAGCAGCCGCGGUAAUACGAAGGGGGCUAGCGUUGUUCGGAUUUACUGGGCGUAAAGCGCACGUAGGCGGACUAUUAAGUCAGGGGUGAAAUCCCGGGGCUCAACCCCGGAACUGCCUUUGAUACUGGUAGUCUUGAGUUCGAGAGAGGUGAGUGGAAUUCCGAGUGUAGAGGUGAAAUUCGUAGAUAUUCGGAGGAACACCAGUGGCGAAGGCGGCUCACUGGCUCGAUACUGACGCUGAGGUGCGAAAGCGUGGGGAGCAAACAGGAUUAGAAACCCCUGUAGUCCCAU
rnacentral:rRNA from 1 species